rnacentral:misc_RNA from 1 species
UGGUUCUGGCAUCGAUGAAGAACGCAGCGAAAUGCGAUAAGUAAUGUGAAUUGCAGGAUUCAGUGAAUCAUCGAAUCUUUGAACGCACAUUGCGCCCUUUGGUAUUCCGAGGGGCACGCCUGUUCGAGCGUCAUUUAAACCAUCAAGCACCGCUUGGUAUUGGACGUGGUCAGAGGACCCGUCUGCAACUAGUUGGCGGUACCGUCCGGCUUCAAGCGUAUCAAUUUCUCGCUUCAGGGGCUCGUGGCGGUGCCUGCCAGGCAACCUCAACCCAAAGUUUGACCUCGGAUCAGGUGGGGAUACCCGCUGA